rnacentral:rRNA from 1 species
ACACAUGCAGUCGAACGGUGAAGAGAAGCUUGCUUCUUGGAUCAGUGGCGAACGGGUGAGUAACACGUGAGCAAUCUGCCCUUGACUCUGGGAUAAGCGUUGGAAACGACGUCUAAUACCGGAUACGACCCUCGGAGGCAUCUCCUGGGGGUGGAAAGAAUUUUGGUCAAGGAUGAGCUCGCGGCCUAUCAGCUAGUUGGUGAGGUAAUGGCUCACCAAGGCGACGACGGGUAGCCGGCCUGAGAGGGUGACCGGCCACACUGGGACUGAGACACGGCCCAGACUCCUACGGGAGGCAGCAGUGGGGAAUAUUGCACAAUGGGCGAAAGCCUGAUGCAGCAACGCCGCGUGAGGGACGAAGGCCUUCGGGUUGUAAACCUCUUUUAGUAGGGAAGAAGCGAAAGUGACGGUACCUGCAGAAAAAGCACCGGCUAACUACGUGCCAGCAGCCGCGGUAAUACGUAGGGUGCAAGCGUUGUCCGGAAUUAUUGGGCGUAAAGAGCUCGUAGGCGGUUUGUCGCGUCUGCUGUGAAAACCCGAGGCUCAACCUCGGGCCUGCAGUGGGUACGGGCAGACUAGAGUGCGGUAGGGGAGAUUGGAAUUCCUGGUGUAGCGGUGGAAUGCGCAGAUAUCAGGAGGAACACCAAUGGCGAAGGCAGAUCUCUGGGCCGUAACUGACGCUGAGGAGCGAAAGCAUGGGGAGCGAACAGGAUUAGAUACCCUGGUAGUCCAUGCCGUAAACGUUGGGAACUAGAUGUGGGGACCAUUCCACGGUCUCCGUGUCGCAGCUAACGCAUUAAGUUCCCCGCCUGGGGAGUACGGCCGCAAGGCUAAAACUCAAAGGAAUUGACGGGGGCCCGCACAAGCGGCGGAGCAUGCGGAUUAAUUCGAUGCAACGCGAAGAACCUUACCAAGGCUUGACAUAUAGAGGAAACGGCUGGAAACAGUCGCCCCGCAAGGUCUCUAUACAGGUGGUGCAUGGUUGUCGUCAGCUCGUGUCGUGAGAUGUUGGGUUAAGUCCCGCAACGAGCGCAACCCUCGUCCUAUGUUGCCAGCACGUAAUGGUGGGAACUCAUGGGAUACUGCCGGGGUCAACUCGGAGGAAGGUGGGGAUGACGUCAAAUCAUCAUGCCCCUUAUGUCUUGGGCUUCACGCAUGCUACAAUGGCCGGUACAAAGGGCUGCAAUACCGUAAGGUGGAGCGAAUCCCAAAAAGCCGGUCUCAGUUCGGAUUGAGGUCUGCAACUCGACCUCAUGAAGUCGGAGUCGCUAGUAAUCGCAGAUCAGCAACGCUGCGGUGAAUACGUUCCCGGGCCUUGUACACACCGCCCGUCAAGUCAUGAAAGUCGGUAACACCCGAAGCCAGUGGCCUAACCGCAAGGAAGGAGCU